rnacentral:rRNA from 1 species
CCUUACCUGGUCUUGACAUCCAGAGAAUCCUGCAGAGAUGCGGGAGUGCCUUCGGGAACUCUGAGACAGGUGCUGCAUGGCUGUCGUCAGCUCGUGUUGUGAAAUGUUGGGUUAAGUCCCGCAACGAGCGCAACCCUUAUCCUUUGUUGCCAGCGCGUAAUGGCGGGAACUCAAAGGAGACUGCCGGUGAUAAACCGGAGGAAGGUGGGGAUGACGUCAAGUCAUCAUGGCCCUUACGACCAGGGCUACACACGUGCUACAAUGGCAUAUACAAAGAGAAGCGACCUCGCGAGAGCAAGCGGACCUCAUAAAGUAUGUCGUAGUCCGGAUUGGAGUCUGCAACUCGACUCCAUGAAGUCGGAAUCGCUAGUAAUCG